rnacentral:rRNA from 1 species
AUUGAACGCUGGCGGCAGGCCUAACACAUGCAAGUCGAACGAGUGGCGGACGGGUGAGUAAUGUCUGGGAAACUGCCUGAUGGAGGGGGAUAACUACUGGAAACGGUAGCUAAUACCGCAUACCAUCAGAUGUGCCCAGAUGGGAUUAGCUUGUUGGUGGGGUAACGGCUCACCAAGGCGACGAUCCCUAGCUGGUCUGAGAGGAUGACAGGCCACACGGUAACUGAGACACGGUGGCGACUCCUACAGGAGGAAGCAGUGGGGAAUAUUGCACAAUGGGCGCAAGCCUGAUGCAGCCAUGCCGCGUGUAUGAAGAAGGCCUUCGGGCUGUAAAGUACUUGAAGCGGGGAGGCGUUACCCGCAGAAGAAGCACCGGCUAACUACGUGCCAGCCGCCGCGGUAAUUC